rnacentral:rRNA from 1 species
GACGAACGCUGGCGGCGUGCCUAAUACAUGCAAGUAGAACGCACAGUUUAUACCGUAGCUUGCUACACCAUAGACUGUGAGUUGCGAACGGGUGAGUAACGCGUAGGUAACCUGCCUGGUAGCGGGGGAUAACUAUUGGAAACGAUAGCUAAUACCGCAUAAUAUUAAUUAUUGCAUGAUAAUUAAUUGAAAGGUGCAAUUGCACCACUACCAGAUGGACCUGCGUUGUAUUAGCUAGUAGGUGAGGUAACGGCUCGCCUAGGCGACGAUACAUAGCCGACCUGAGAGGGUGAUCGGCCACACUGGGACUGAGACACGGCCCAGACUCCUACGGGAGGCAGCAGUAGGGAAUCUUCGGCAAUGGACGAAAGUCUGACCGAGCAACGCCGCGUGAGUGAAGAAGGUUUUCGGAUCGUAAAGCUCUGUUGUAAGAGAAGAACGGGUGUGAGAGUGGAAAGUUCACACUGUGACGGUAUCUGACCAGAAAGGGACGGCUAACUACGUG